UUUUGCCCGGUAUAAAUCAGACACAGAGAUAAAGUAGUGUGAUGAGAUUACAUUUAUUUGAAUGAAUUGACAGAUAUCUAUCAGAGACAGAGAGAUUAAUCAUGUAUGAAUUUCCUGCAUCAUGUGCCUCUCAGCAGUCAGUCAGUGCGUUUACAUGGACAACAAUAAUCCACUGUUAACCCGAUUAAGACGAUACUUUGAUUAAGAAACUACCACGUAAACAGCAAUUUUUAAUUACCUUAAUCUGAUUAAAGUCAUUACUCGAAGUAAGCACUAAUCGAAUUAAGACAUGUAGUACUCCUGUUUUAGUCGCAUUAUCAACGUGUAUUACAGACAUGUAAACACCUGAAUCACAUUAUUAACGUUGUGUGAGUUUUCACCGCAUUUUGCGACAGGACACGUACACACACGGCAGUGCUCAACAUUUUACGGCGAACAAGAGAGCACGGCUGCGUCCCAAUCAGCAUACUUGCCUACUAUAGGCCUGUAGUGGGGAAAAUACAUCUAUCUCGGCUACUAUAUAGACGCUAAGUGCACGGUUUGGGAUGCAGUUCACGGCUUCAAGCAGUUGUCUAUUUGCACGUACAGCAUGACAAAAAAAAACUGCGCUUAAAGCGUUCAUAAAAAAAUUAAAUAAAAAUACCCAAAACUGUAUACUAUACCAUAACGAAGACGAACUGUAUGUUGACGUGAAAUUCUGGAGGGACGUCGGACGGCGUGGCGCGACACAUGUAAACACCUUAUUCACGUUAUUAUCUUACUCAGAGUAAGGUCAAUAAUUAGAUUACUGCUGUCCAUGUAAACAUAGUCAGUGUUGCGCAGCAGUAGUGUAGUAAAACUGUGAGUUGAAUUACUUCACAAACAGUGAUGGUAACACCUCAUUGCUGAGAAAUAUAAUGUAACUUUUUACCAGCAAAGUUAUUUUUUUUGUUGCAGACAAAGUUGCAGACAGCGCCGGCAAGAAGUGUCUGUGUGUACGAAUGUGUGUUCACGAAUGUCUCUGUUUGCUCGAGUGUCUGUGUGUGUGUGUGUGUUUGUGUGUGCAUGUAGGCUGCGCGUUGAUUUAGAAAUGCUCACAGUGAUCAAACUGACUGGAACUACCUGUGCAAUAAACGGUUAUAAUGCACACCUUCCAGCCAAUCAGAAUCCAAUAUUCACACUGACCAUGGUAUAAACGUAAUUAAUGCUUAGGAUUCAUAAUAAGCUUACGAUAUGUAUUGCUUUCUUCCAAUGUUCACAGAAACCUCUUCACGGCUAAAGCUGCAGAGAUGGAGGUUGUGGGGACCAUGAAGAGGUGGCUCCAGCUGGCAUCAGAUCGAGAGUGCGGGCGCAAGAGAAGACUUUUGAAAACUUUUGCAAAAAGAAGCCCUUUCCAGUAGCGGUUAUAUGAUGUUCCGAUCCAUCUUUUCACACUGAGGACAACCGAGGGACUCGUACACGACUAUUCCAAAAGGUGCAAACAUUCACUGAUGCUCAAGAAGGUAACAGCAUGCAUUAAGAGCCUGGCUGUAAACGUUGUAAACAGGAUGAUCAUGUACAUUUUUUUGUCUUCUGGGAUACUUCUUCUAUGCUGUAUUAACCAUCUUUCUGUAAUAAACCUUUUUCACCUCA